rnacentral:lncRNA from 1 species
UUUUUGUUUUUUGUUUGUUUGUUUGGCUGCACCUGUGGCAUAUGGAGGUUCCGAGGCUAGGGGUCAAAUUGGAGCUACAGCUGCCAGCCUAUGGCACAACCACCACAAUGUGGGAUCCAAGCCACGUCUAUGACCUACACCAGAGCUCAUGGCAACACCAGAUCCCUGACAGACUAAUCAAGGCCAGGGAUUGAACCAGAAUCCUCAUGGAUACUAGUUGGAUUUGUUUCUGCUGCACCACAACAGAAACCCCCAGAAAUAACAGUUUUGAUUUGAGGAGGAAGACUGCUUCACAAGAGAAAUAACUUUCCCUGAAAAUCCUCAAUAAAUUAAGAAGUCACCCUCAAGUACAAUUCUGCUUCUCUUUCCAGAGUAGACAUAUUGGUUUCUAGUCCUCACACAUUCUAGUGCUUAAAGCAUGCUUGUUAAAAUGAGCUGCCUUGUUCUGGCUGAAGGAUGACUUAGAAGCAACUAUAGGCUUAUUAUUGCCCCUUUAUUCUUAGUGUAUUUUCCAAUGGCUUCAGAGAGGGUUUGCCUAAGUGUGGGUAUUUUUCAGCACUAUCUCUGAUUAUGAGGCAUCUGAAUCAAACUCCAUCUGUUGAUAAAACCAGUGUUUAUUAUGCUGCUCUCUAUGUGAGUUGUUUUCUUGCUGGUUGAAGCAGCUAAAAUAUUCUGAGGCUUCACACUCCAUUUGUGUCUUGAAUCUGACCCCUUGCCUCUUGCACCUCCCCAUCUCACCUCAGUCUCUUUUCAAAUUCUCAGCCCACACUCCCACUAGUGCUACUCCUCAGUCAACACUCACACAUGCUCAAAUUUUUCCCUUCCUAAAAUAAAGGUGAAACAUCUUCCAUCCUGUGCACUCCCUCCCUUCCACCCUACCUCCUUCCUUAAAAAAUAAACUUCUUAAUAAAGUUGUCUGCACACAUCAGGUCACUUUUUCUCAUUUUCUGCUCCUACCUUCACCUACUGCAAUCUGGCUUCUGCCUCCAGAGCUCCACAGAAUCUGCUUUCCUUCAAGUCACAACUAGUCUUUGGUUAUUAAAUCCAUCUGGCAUUUUCAAAGACUUCCUGCAACACUGGACACUGAUAUGUGUGUGUGUGUGUGUGUGUGUGACAUUUUAAAUUUAAUUAUUAUUAUUAUUUUUUCCUUUUUAGGGCCACACCUGCAGCAUAUGGAUGUUCCCAGGCUAGAGCUGCAGCUGCCAGCCUAUACCACAGCCACAGCAACAUAAGAUCCAAGCCACAUCUACAACCCACACAGCAAUUUGUGGCAACACUGGAUCCUCAACCCGUUGCACGAGGCCAGGGAUUGAACACCCAUCCUCAUGGAUACCAGCCAGGUUCUUAUCCUGCUGAGCCACAAUGGGAACUGCUAUUUUUUUUUUUUUACUUUUUUAAAAUUUAGUGUUACUAAAGUACAGUUGACUUACAAUGUUGUAUUAGUUUCGGGGAGAUAGCAACAUGAAUCAGUCAUACAUAUAAAUCUCUCCAUUCCUCUUUCUCAUAUAGGUUAUUACAAAUGAUCAAGUAGACUUUUCUGUGCUUAACAGUAGGUUCUCAUUAAUCAUCUAUUUUAUACAGCAGGGUGUAGAUGUUAUACCCACUGUCCCAGUUCCUCCCUCUCCCCAGCAGUUUCCCCUAAGAGAACCAUAAGAUUGGUUUUGAAAUGUUUGUUUCUGCUUCAUAAAUAAGUUCUUUUGUAUUGAUUUUAUUAGAGUCCAUAUAAGUGAUUUCAUAUAUUUGUCCUUCUCUUUCUGACUUACUUGACUCAGUAUGACAAUCUCCAGGUUGAGCCAUGUCACUGCAAAUGGCUUUUUUCCCCUUGUUCAACGCCCAAUAUCCCUGGAGUUCCCAACCUCCUUAGACACUCUUUCUUCAUGUCCAGGGUACCCUUUUUUACCUUACCCAGUAAGUUAUAAUACCAUCCAAGCAUCUGUUCUAGCUCUUCUCUUUUCACUGUUACCAUACCCAUGACCUCAACUCUCUUCUACACAGUGGUGAAGGCCAAGUUCCCCUCUUGAACCCAGACAUCUUGUCUUACCUCCAGAACCACAUGUAGAUUGCCUCUCAGAAAGCUUCUCUUACCAGAACGGUGGAUACUCCAGGGCUCUACCCAGAGCCCUUCCUCAGAGCUGGCUACCCAUCCCACUCUCCCCAGCUGCUUAGGAUAUUAAACUGCUCACAGCUGUGUCCUGAUCAUUCAAGGUUAUGCCCUCUUCCAAAAGGCAGCAACAGAAAAUGACUUGGUCAUGUGGGCAUAAAAAGGCCAGGCCCCUUGCCUCAAUGUUCAGUACUACGAAGUGCCAUCUGGAGCUCCAGGUUGAAGUGGCUGACUUCUCAGUUGCAACUGUAUUUUCGCAUCUGCUUUGGCCUUUGCCCUCUCCUUCUCUCAUCACUUCUCUGUAAGAUUAUCUCCUAGGAGAAUAUCCAAUAAAUCUUCUACAUUCAAUUCUCCAUCUCAGAGUCUCCAUACCAGGGAAACCAAUCAACAUCAAAAGGAAAUUCAUCCUACUCCCCUAUAAACUUAAAAAAACUUUUUUCCUCCUUAUUUAAAGCUUUACUCUUUAAUUAGCAACCAUAAAAACAAACAAACCAGCCAUGGUAGGACUCAGAGGCAAAGGCAGAAACCCCCAAACAGCCAUUUUUCCCUAACUUCUCAGGCUUAAAGAGAGUUUAAACCAGACCAGACUCAUCCCAGCUCUGGCGACAGCCUACUGUCUGCAUUCUGAUUCCAGUCACAAUGGUUGGAACCUGGUUGCGCUUCAUUCAAGGGCCUCAUUCAAGGGUAUUCAUUGCUUCUUCCUUCUCUUUUCCACCUCCUGAAAUAUUCGCCAUCUCAGUACAUAGCACCAUCAUAUAGCCAGGUGAUCAGGUGAGACACUUGGGAAUCACCCUUGACUUCUUCCCCACAUAUCUAUCACUCACCAAGCCAUGUCAAUUAUUUUAUUUUUAAAUUUUUUAUUAGACUAUACUUGAUUUACAAUGUUGUGCCAAUUUCUGCUGUACAGCAAAGGUACCCAGUCAUGCAUGCAUAUACAUUCCCUUUCUUAUAUUAUCUUCUAUCACAGUCUCUCGUAAGAGAUUGGAUAUUGUUCUCUGUGUUAUACAUAGGAUCUCAUUGCUUAUCCAUUCUAAAUGUAAUAGUUUGCAUCCACUAACCCCAAACUCCCUGUUCAUUCCACUCCCUCUCCUCUCUCCCUUGGCAACCAAAAGUCUGUUCUCUAUGUCUGCAAGUUACAUCAAUUCUAAUUCCCAAAUAUCUUUCAGGUUAAUCUUACUUCCUCCAUUUUUACUACAACUUAUUCAGUUCCAGGAAGCCUCUCCUCUCCCAAGACUAUUCCAGUGCAUCCCAACCAGCAAGCCAGGGCUAGAAGCUGGUCAUCUCAAUGCUUGGCUGGCUGUAUGGGACCUGAGGUAGCCAGGACUUGCCACUCAUUUGCAUUUAUCCAAAAAUAACCUCUUCCAGGGGUCCAGAUUACCACCAGGGUCCCGGCACUUUCCAUACAACAUUAUCAUGUUCUGUGUAUGUCGUGCUGUGAAAAAGACAGAAAAUUACCGUUGCCACUUGGUCCUAGAAGGUCCCUCGUUCAUGGGUCUCCCCUCCCCUAGAGUAGAUGAUAAGCCCCUUAAAGACAGGGACUUGGCAUUUUCUGUCUUUCUGUUGUCCAGAGUUCAGCCUAAGCCUAGCAACCAGCAGUCGCUCACCAAAUAUUUGAUGAAUAAAUCAAUAAACUAGUUAAUCCAUCCUUCAAAAGAAGAAAGGAGGAAAAGGAUGCAAAGAAAGGAAACAAUGAAAACAAGAAAGGGAAUGGAAAAGAAACCAGCUUCUCAUCCUUCUAAGAGUCUUGUUCCUGGUAUUGAACUGAUUGCCAUGAUGAGGGAUCUCAUUUAGAAGAUAAGAGGAAUGUUGACAAUCUGGAAAACCAGGUUUUCAAUCACAGCCACAUCUUCUCAUUUGGUCCUUUUUAGUGUAUAAUCUCCAAGAUGGCUUAUAAUACCAGCUUGGGCAGUGAAGUACUUUGCCCAACAGAGAGGAAUCAAUAAAUAUGAAUUAAUAACAAUAAUGAAGGAAUAAGUAGGUGGAUCCAGAAUGAAAUGGCUAAGCAAACUUCACCUGAGGCAAAUCCACCACCAGGAUGGACGUUUUAUACUAUUGGUCCUGCCUGUUGAAUUACAACUCUUUUUGACAGUAGACAAACACCGGUCAACAAGUGGAAAAAUACGUGUUCAUGUCCCAGCUCAACUAGGUACUAGAGCUGUGACUUUGGGGGAGGCAUUUAAUUUCUUUGAACGUGCAUGUCUUUGUCUGCAAUAAGGCAGGAUUGGAUUCGAUGAUGUUCAUGUCCACUUCUAAUGCCAAGAUUCUAUCCUGAUCUGUGCUGUUAUUUUGAGCUCUCUCAAUGUCUGUCAAUCCAUUGGUUUUUUUUCAAAUGGAAAAUAUUAAUUCAAACUGCCUAGUGUUUUACUAGUGUUAUCUAAAAAUAAACUUUAAAACAGGAGCCAGGAAACUAUUCUGUGAAACAAUGCACGUCAGCUUUUAACCAACUGCAGCCUUCUUCUUCUUCACCUCUUAAAGCAUGUGCUUCAAACAGGACAGAUAAUGAGAGAACAUACAUACUUAUUUACCAAGUUGACCUAUCAAAGAGGAGGGGAAAAAAAAAAAAAACACAUGGAAAUUUAGGCAACUGUUGACUGCUAGAGAUUAUUCAGAUGGGAAGUCUGACGUAAACUCGCACAACAGAAAUUGAAAAAAAUUAUAAAUCAACUAUACUUUAAGAAAAGAAAAACAAAGCCAAAAAGAAGGAAAGAAAGAAAGAGAAAGAAAGAAAGAAAGAAAGAAAGAAAGAAAGAA